UUGACCUCGGAUCAGGUAGGAAUACCCGCUGAACUUAAGCAUAUCAAUAAGGAGGGA
rnacentral:rRNA from 1 species